rnacentral:ncRNA from 1 species
GUUCUUCAGGGUUGGGUGCAAUUCCCUACCGGCGGUGACGCUGCGCACGGCGCAGAUGAGUCCGCGACCCGCUUAGGCGGCUGAUCCGGUUAGAAUCCGGAACCGACAGUACAGUCUGGAUGGAAGAAGAA